rnacentral:lncRNA from 1 species
UUUCUUACUUCUCUUUCUUUGCUAUUGCUGUUUUUGCAGAAACCCACAGCAGGUGAUUGAUUCCUUUAGGUGGCUAACACCACAACAGGAGAAGAAAAGAGGUGCUAAAACAAGAAUGUUGAGUUGUUGAGCUGGAGAAAGAAAGGGGCUGAGCUUCAGGAAACGGAAAACAAAAGGACUUAAGGCAACAUGAGAGCCUCUAUGAAGGGAGUUCAAGAAGCACAAAACAAGCACAGGAAAGGAAUAUUUUGACCUCUAACUCAGACAGCCUUUCCGAGGAAUUUUGCUUAAACUGUAAAUUUUCCACUGCUGCCUAUUAAUGUUCUAGCUGCAUCAUUCUGAAACUUGAAUCUAUGAAAAGCUGCAUAUAGUUCUAGCAAAGAAGGUCUAGCAAAGAAAUGGAAAUGUAUUUUGAAUGCUAUUCUACGCCCUGGUGCUUUACUGGUAAGUAAAAAUGUUUAAAAAAAACCCUCAUUUUUAUUGGUAUUUAGAUGUUUCUUUUAACUUUUAUUGUUGAUUUGAUC